rnacentral:sRNA from 1 species
UCUCGAUUGGUGAUAAAUGGCCCAACC